rnacentral:rRNA from 1 species
AGUGAACGCUGGCGGUAGGCCUAACACAUGCAAGUCGAACGGCAGCACAGUAAGAGCUUGCUCUUACGGGUGGCGAGUGGCGGACGGGUGAGGAAUACAUCGGAAUCUACUUUUUCGUGGGGGAUAACGUAGGGAAACUUACGCUAAUACAGCAUACGACCUACGGGUGAAAGCAGGGGAUCUUCGGACCUUGCGCGAUUGAAUGAGCCGAUGUCGGAUUAGCUAGUUGGCGGGGUAAAGGCCCACCAAGGGGACGAUCCGUAGCUGGUCUGAGAGGAGGAUCAGCCACACUGGAACUGAGACACGGUCCAGACUCCUACGGGAGGCAGCAGUGGGGAAUAUUGGACAAUGGGCGCAAGCCUGAUCCAGCCAUACCGCGUGGGUGAAGAAGGCCUUCGGGUUGUAAAGCCCUUUUGUUGGGAAAGAAAAGCAGCAGGUUAAUACCCCGCUGUUCUGACGGUACCCAAAGAAUAAGCACCGGCUAACUUCGUG